UUCAAAAAUGGGUUGAAAUUAGGCGUUUGGGAUUAACAUAGACACACUAACUAUAUAUAUAACAGAUAGCCAACAAAGACCUACUGUGUAGCACAGAGAACUGUGUUCGGUAUUUUAUAGUAACCUAUAAGAGAAAAAAAUCUGAAAAAGAAUAGACAUAUAUAUGUGUGGAUAACUGAAUCACUUUGCUUCACUCCUGAAAUUAAUAUGACAUUGUAAAGCAACUAUGCUUCAAUUUAACAAGACAGAAAGAAAUGGGUUCGGGUUUGCUUAGCUAAAUAACCUUGAAUUUGAUUUUUUCAAUAGAUUUUAGUAUUUUAAAGUCAUAUACUUGGAGCAUUAGAAAAAUGAAAUGCCAAAGCUGAUAUCCUGACCCGAGUUAUAAGAUGCCCAUGCUUUACCUUCAUAGCACGGCCCUCCCGGUAGUCACUGUUCACCAGCAAACGUGUUGUCAAUACACAAGGCAAUUGAAUGCACAUGUGUUUCUAUUUGACCACCUAUGUAUUUGCUCCUCUAAAGAAAAAUCAUAAUCGAAGAAGGAACCGGCAGCCUGCCCAGGACACGCCACCACCCCAAAAGCAGAAAGUCAUCUUUCUGCUGUUGAAGUCUCUAAUGUGAAGAAGCCUGCAAGCCCAGAAAGCUUAUUUCUCAGCUGAGUGACCACAGCAGAAAGGACCCACAUUCUUGUCUAAGCCCUGUAACUGCAGGCUUCUAUGGUAAGGCCAAUAUCUGCCUUCGUGCAGAACUGCCAGAGGGGUUAGGGAAACGAGAUACCAUUUCUCUGAGAAACUCUGCUCAUUUCUGUGAGCCCAUGACUGAUGGUGAUUGACAACCCUGCACACCUGCAAUCAAGGAUGCCCCGUAUUUAUCCCAGGGCAACACCUGCGGGGAGACCGGCUCUCACUCCCUGAGCGCGUCCCGCAGAAGGCUGGCAGAGUGUCUCCUGGUCCUCUCUUCCCUAAAGCUCCGGGAAGGCGGCCAGGAGCUCGGUCACCUCACCCCUGUGCGGCAGUCCUGUGCAAGCAUGUCUCUUCUGUGCUCACCUUCUGGCCGGAGGCAACAGCAGGGUCCUCUUCGUGAAGGAGACACCCAGGGGCUGAGUAUCAGGGAACAAAUGCAUUCAUCAUGGCAGGGCCCGUGUGCCAAGGCGCAAUAAAGACCAUGCUCGCCGCGGCGGGGAGCGUGGGGACCUCGCCGCAGACCACACGCGCCGGAGUCGCUCUCUGAAGUCUCAUUACUAAGUAUGUGUGUAUGUAGCGGGGGGUGA
rnacentral:lncRNA from 1 species